AUACGUAGGUGACAAGCGUUAUCCGGAUUUACUGGGCGUAAAGGGCGUGUAGGCGGUCUUGCAAGUCAGAAGUGAAAUUCCUGAGCUCAACUCGGGCGCUGCUUCUGAAACUGCAGGACUUGAGUGCUGGAGGGGAUAGCGGAAUUCCUAGUGGAGCGGUAAAAUGCGCAGAUAUUAGGAAGAACACCGGUGGCGAAGGCGGCUAUCUGGACAGUAACUGACGCUGAGGCGCGAAAGCGUGGGGAGAAAACAGGAUUAGAUACCCUAGUAGUCCACGCCGUAAACGAUGAAUACUAAGUGUUGGGGUAAAACUCAGUGCUGCAGUUAACGCAAUAAGUAUUCCGCCUGGGGAGUAUGCGCGCAAGCGUAAAACUCAAAGGAAUUGACGGGG
rnacentral:rRNA from 1 species